rnacentral:tRNA from 1 species
GCGGAUGUGGUGGAACGGCAGACACGCUAUCUUGAGGGGGUAGUGGGCAACAGCUCGUGCGGGUUCAAAUCCCGCCAUCCGCACCA